rnacentral:lncRNA from 14 species
CACUUUAACUAAGCUAACUUUGUAAGAUGCAAGCUUUUGUAAAUCAAGUUGCAAAUCAAGAACUGUGAUACAUCUUCCAAAAGAAGCGUAACAGAAAGGUCAGAGUCCCCAGUUGUCCAUCCACUGUGGAGACAGUGCUCUCACAGGAGAAUGGAUAUUUGGUACAUGAGCUCUGAAUAACUCCAAAGGAUACAGCAAGGCCGUGGGAGGCCCGAGGAAGCUUAAGCAAGCAAGAUAAGAAG